rnacentral:snRNA from 15 species
UUACUUACCUGGACGGGAUCGAUGGGCGAUCAUGAAGGCCCAUGGCCUAGAUCAGUGGCCCACAUUGCACUUUGUGGGUGCGCUGGUCUACCAUCUAUGGUUGAUCUAAUUCAUGAUUUACACACCAGUUUGUC